rnacentral:sRNA from 2 species
ACAGUGUCAUGGCCGUCUGAGCUAAGAAAAUAACUUAUUGAAAAGGCGCAGACUUCUGCGCCUUUUUU